rnacentral:rRNA from 1 species
CGGACGGGUGAGUAACGCGUGGGUAACCUGCCUUACACUGGGGGAUAACACUUAGAAAUAGGUGCUAAUACCGCAUAAGCGCACGAAGCCGCAUGGAUUUGUGUGAAAAACUCCGGUGGUGUAAGAUGGACCCGCGUCUGAUUAGCUUGUUGGCAGGGUAAAAGCCUACCAAAGCGACGAUCAGUAGCCGGCUUGAGAGAGUGACCGGCCACAUUGGGACUGAGACACGGCCCAAACUCCUACGGGAGGCAGCAG